UCAUUUCCCACACUUAGAACAAAUAGCAAGAAGGAGAAAAAACCCUCCAACCUCACGGCUGAACCAUGGAAAAAUCAAGAUCAUUUCUAGCCUCUCCAAAAAAAAUUUCUUUGGUAUAAACCCACUAUUUUGAGGUCCCUAAGUAGCGUGGAAGUGUCGUUGGAGCGAUCAAGCCAUCAAUUUUGUGGAUUUCAAACCCUAACCAAAGUGUGGAAUUGGAGAAGAAAGGUACAGACGCACAGUUUGGUGAUCUACCCAUUUAGGACACCCUCUUCUGCUGUUUGGAGUGCUCUUCUCAUUUCAGAGCACACAUUUUGGUAUAUAUUUGUUCGCUAUGUAUAUAUGUAUUUGUUCAGGGGUACGGAGGGGCCCUGUCCCGCCAUAUGUUUCGGUUUGUCUAUUUAGAGGUUUGUAGACGUAUUUGUGGGUGUGUGUGCCUACUUCUGUACAGAUGAGUUUAUAUGACCCUAUUCGCUAUGACAGCCUUGUCGGCUUUUGACGUAUUUGACAGCCUUGUCAGCUUUUGACACAUUUGAUAGCCUUGCCGGCUUUUUGAUAUAUGUGCAUAUGUUCGGCGAUGUAUAUUUCGCCGCCUCUUCUGAUUCUGAUAUAAUGUUUUGUACGCGCAAUCGCGCAAGAUAA